rnacentral:rRNA from 1 species
CUACGGGGGGCAGCAGUGGGGAAUAUCGGACAAUGGGCGAAAGCCUGAUCCAGCCAUGCCGCGUGUGUGAAGAAGGCCUUCGGGUUGUAAAGCACUUUCAGUGGGGAAGAAAGCCUUGGGGCUAAUACCCUCGAGGAAGGACAUCACCCACAGAAGAAGCACCGGCUAACUCCGUGCCAGCAGCCGCGGUAAUACGGAGGGUGCGAGCGUUAAUCGGAAUUACUGGGCGUAAAGCGCGCGUAGGCGGUCUGAUAAGCCGGUUGUGAAAGCCCCGGGCUCAACCUGGGAACGGCAUCCGGAACUGUCAGGCUAGAGUGCAGGAGAGGAAGGUAGAAUUCCCGGUGUAGCGGUGAAAUGCGUAGAGAUCGGGAGGAAUACCAGUGGCGAAGGCGGCCUUCUGGACUGACACUGACGCUGAGGUGCGAAAGCGUGGGUAGCAAACAGGAUUAGAUACCCUUGUAGUC